AUGAACGCUGGCGGCGUGCCUCAUACAUGCAAGUCGCGCGAACAGACGAGGAGCUUGCUCCCUUGACGUUAGCGGCGGACGGGUGAGUAACACGUGGAUAACCUACCUAUAAGACUGGGAUAACUUCGGGAAACCGGAGCUAAUACCGGAUAACAUGUUGAACCGCAUGGUUCAACAGUGAAAGACGGUCUUGCUGUCACUUAUAGAUGGAUCCGCGCCGCAUUAGCUAGUUGGUAAGGUAACGGCUUACCAAGGCAACGAUGCGUAGCCGACCUGAGAGGGUGAUCGGCCACACUGGAACUGAGACACGGUCCAGACUCCUACGGGAGGCAGCAGUAGGGAAUCUUCCGCAAUGGGCGAAAGCCUGACGGAGCAACGCCGCGUGAGUGAAGAAGGUCUUCGGAUCGUAAAACUCUGUUAUUAGGGAAGAACAAAUGUGUAAGUAACUAUGCACGUCUUGACGGUACCUAAUCAGAAAGCCACGGCUAACUACGUG
rnacentral:rRNA from 1 species